rnacentral:rRNA from 1 species
AUGACGUCAAAUCAUCAUGCCCUUUAUGACCUGGGCUACAAACGUACUACAAUGGCCAGAUACAAAGAGAUGCGAAGCCGCGAGGUGGAGCGAACCUCAUAAAAAUGGUCUCAGUUCGGAUUGGAGUCUGCAACUCGACUCCAUGAAGUCGGAAUCGCUAGUAAUCGCGGGUCAGCAGACCGCGGUGAAUACGUUCCCGGGUUUU